AGUGAACGCUGGCGGUAGGCCUAACACAUGCAGGUCGAACGGCAGCACAGUAAGAGCUUGCUCUUACGGGUGGCGAGUGGCGGACGGGUGAGGAAUACAUCGGAAUCUACUUUUUCGUGGGGAAUAACGUAGGGAAACUUACGCUAAUACCGCAUACGACCUACGGGUGAAAGCAGGGGAUCUUCGGACCUUGCGCGAUUGAAUGAGCCGAUGUCGGAUUAGCUAGUUGGCGGGGUAAAGGCCCACCAAGGCGACGAUCCGUAGCUGGUCUGAGAGGAUGAUCAGCCACACUGGAACUGAGACACGGUCCAGACUCCUACGGGAGGCAGCAGUGGGGAAUAUUGGACAAUGGGCGCAAGCCUGAUCCAGCCAUACCGCGUGGGUGAAGAAGGCCUUCGGGUUGUAAAGCCCUUUUGUUGGGAAAGAAAAGCAGCAGGUUAAUACCCCGCUGUUCUGACGGUACCCAAAGAAUAAGCACCGGCUAACUUCGUG
rnacentral:rRNA from 1 species